rnacentral:lncRNA from 1 species
GGCUGGACGUCGGCCCCAUCUUCCGAGGCCUGCUGCACGUGCAGCACAUGGAUGGGAACAUGACAAUUAGCAUCAGGAACAAGAAAGAGGGCAACGGGUAACGAAUACACAACGAAACACACAAACGUGGCACAGAUGUGGCCCACCACUACCUGCCUACAUCAAACAAAUCUGCCGUACUCCGAUAGCCAUAUCGUAGUACGACAGCGUCUUGAUGCCCCACGUAAAACACAUAAGAGCCCCGACCCUCGCCCCCAUCUUACCUCCAUUCCCGGUUGGACGUUGGCCCCAUCUUCCGAGGCCUGCUGCACGUGCAGCACAUGGAUGGGAACAUGACAAUUAGGGCAGGCACGUCAAUGGCGGAGGCGAAACAUACACGCCCCCCUCCCCCAACCAGCCCCAGCCACCCUCCAUAGCAUCAGGAACAAGAAAGAGGGCAACGGGUAACGAUUCUACAACGAAACACACAACCGUGGCACAGAUGUGGCCCACCACUAUCUGCCUACAUCAAACAAAUCUGCCGUACUCCGAUAGCCAUAUCGGAGUACGACAGCAUUUUGAUGGCCCAUGAAAAACACAUAAGAGCCCCGACCCUCGCCCCCAUCUUACCUCCAUUCCCGGCUGGACGUUGGCCCCAUCUUCCGAGGCCUGCUGCACGUGCAGCACAUGGAUGGGAACAUGACAAUUAGGGCAGGCACGUCAAUGGCGGAGGCGAAACAUACACGCCCCCCUCCCCCAACCAGCCCCAGCCACCCUCCAUAGCAUCAGGAACAAGAAAGAGGGCAACAGGUAACGAUUCCACAACGAAACACACAACCGUGGCACAGAUGUGGCCCACCACUACCUGCCUACAUCAAACAAAUCUGCCGUACUCCGAUAGCCAUAUCAGAGUACGACAGCGUUUUGAUGCCCCACGUAAAACACAUAAGAGCCCCGACCCUCGCCCCCAUCUUACCUCCAUUCCCGGCUGGACGUCGGCCCCAUCUUCCGAGGCCUGCUGCACGUGCAGCACAUGGAUGGGAACAUGACAAUUAGCAUCAGGAACAAGAAAGAGGGCAACGGGUAACGAUUCCACAACGAAACACACAAACGUGGCACAGAUGUGGCCCACCACUACCUGCCUACAUCAAACAAAUCUGCCGUACUCCGAUAGCCAUAUCGUAGUACGACAGCGUCUUGAUGCCCCACGUAAAACACAUAAGAGCCCCGACCCUCGCCCCCAUCUUAC